rnacentral:misc_RNA from 1 species
GAUGAAGAACGCAGUGAAAUGCGAUAAGUAGUGUGAAUUGCAGAAUCCAGUGAAUCAUCGAAUCUUUGAACGCACAUUGCGCCCGCCAGCAUUCUGGCGGGCAUGCCUGUUCGAGCGUCAUUUCAACCCUCGACCUCCCCUUGGGGAGGUCGGCGUUGGGGACCGGCAGCACACCGCCGGCCCUGAAAUGGAGUGGCGGCCCGUCUGCGGCGACCUCUGCGUAGUAAUACAGCUCGCACCGGAACCCCGACGCGGCCACGCCGUAAAACACCCAACUUCUGAACGUUGACCUCGAAUCAGGUAGGACUACCCGCUGAACUUAAGCAUAUCAAUAAGCGGAGGA